rnacentral:rRNA from 1 species
AGCGAACGCUGGCGGCAGGCCUAACACAUGCAAGUCGAACGCGUGUAGCAAUACACGAGUGGCAGACGGGUGAGUAACACGUGGGAACGUGCCCUUCGGUUCGGAAUAACUCAGGGAAACUUGAGCUAAUACCGGAUACGCCCUUACGGGGAAAGAUUAUCGCCGAUGGAUCGGCCCGCGUCUGAUUAGCUAGUUGGUGAGGUAACGGCUCACCAAGGCGACGAUCAGAGCUGGUCUGAGAGGAUGAUCAGCCACACUGGGACUGAGACACGGCCCAGACUCCUACGGGAGGCAGCAGUGGGGAAUAUUGGACAAUGGGGGAAACCCUGAUCCAGCCAUGCCGCGUGAGUGAUGAAGGCCCUAGGGUUGUAAAGCUCUUUCGGCGGGGACGAUAAUGACGGUACCCGCAGAAGAAGCCCCGGGCUAACUACGUGCCAGCCGCCGCAGUAAU